ensembl:snRNA U6 U6 spliceosomal RNA
GUGCUCGCUUUGGCAGCACAUAUACUAAAAUUAGAACGAUUAGCAUGGUCCCUGCACAAGGAUGACACGCAAAUUAGAGGCAUAUUGCUAUUAUUA